CUGAGCGUAGGAGGCUGUGUUAUCCACUUGAGAGUAAAAGAGAGCUGUGCCUGAAUCCACUGUUGUCACGGAGCUAAAGGCAGUGAAUUCUGCUAAAAUGGAGCCUGUAGCAGUCCAUUAAUUCACUGAAUGGUAAUUGAGAGAAAUGAUCUGGCCUAAUUUAUAGGUCAAGUUUUGGUAAAGAGUUGGAAACAUCGUGCGGAGAUCCUUUCCACGGAAAGAUCCCCACGUUCCAGGUGUUCUCCCAGAGAUUCAUAGAUUCCCAGUCCGGGUGGCUGGGUGGCGAGCCAACCGUGUUUGUGACUCUGACUUUAGACGGAUUGCCAGGAUCAUCAUCUUCAUGGUGGUAGGACAAACACUAACACGAACUAAAGAG
ensembl:lncRNA